UCCACGCAGUAAACGAUGAAUGUUAGUCGUUGGGUCUCUAGUAGAUUCAGUGAUGCAGUUAACACAUUAAACAUUCCGCCUGGGGAGUACGGUCGCAAGAUUAAAACUCAAAGGAAUAGACGGGGACCCGCACAAGUGGUGGAGCAUGUGGUUUAAUUCGAAGAUACGCGAAGAACCUUACCUAGCCUUGACAUUGAAGAAACACACUAGAGAUAGAGUGGUGCCCUUCGGGG
rnacentral:rRNA from 1 species